rnacentral:rRNA from 1 species
UACGGGGGGGGCAAGCGUUGUUCGGAAUUACUGGGCGUAAAGGGCUCGUAGGCGGCCAACUAAGUCAUACGUGAAAUCCCUCGGCUUAACCGGGGAACUGCGUCUGAUACUGGAUGGCUUGAGUUCGGGAGAGGGAUGCGGAAUUCCAGGUGUAGCGGUGAAAUGCGUAGAUAUCGGGAGGAACACCGGUGGCGAAGGCGGGUCUCUGGGCCGAUACUGACGCUGAGGAGCGAAAGCGUGGGGAGCGAACAGG